CUGCUACACAUGCAGUCGAGCGGUAAGGCCCUUCGGGGUACACGAGCGGCGAACGGGUGAGUAACACGUGGGUGAUCUGCCUCGCACUCUGGGAUAAGCCUGGGAAACUGGGUCUAAUACCGGAUAUGAACAUGGUCUGCAUGGACUGUGUUGGAAAGGUUUACUGGUGCGAGAUGGGCCCGCGGCCUAUCAGCUUGUUGGUGGGGUAACGGCCUACCAAGGCGACGACGGGUAGCCGACCUGAGAGGGUGACCGGCCACACUGGGACUGAGACACGGCCCAGACUCCUACGGGAGGCAGCAGUGGGGAAUAUUGCACAAUGGGCGAAAGCCUGAUGCAGCGACGCCGCGUGAGGGAUGACGGCCUUCGGGUUGUAAACCUCUUUCGACAGGGACGAAGCGCAAGUGACGGUACCUGUAGAAGAAGCACCGGCCAACUACGUGCCAGCAGCCGCGGUAAUACGUAGGGUGCGAGCGUUGUCCGGAAUUACUGGGCGUAAAGAGCUUGUAGGCGGUCUGUCACGUCGAUUGUGAAAACUUGGGGCUCAACUCCAAGCUUGCAGUCGAUACGGGCAGACUAGAGUACUUCACGGGAGACUGGAAAUUCCUGGUGUAGCGGUGAAAUGCGCAGAUAUCAGAGGAACACCGGUGGCGAAAGCGGGUCUCUGGGAAGUAACUGACGCUGARAAGCGAAAGCGUGGUAGCGAACAGGAUUAGAUACCCUGGUAGUCCACSCCGUAAACGGUGGGUACUAGUGUGGUUUCCUCCACGGGAUCCGUGCCGUAGCUAACGCAUUAGUACCCCGCUGGG
rnacentral:rRNA from 1 species